rnacentral:rRNA from 2 species
GCGAACUGGUGAGUAACACGUGGGAAACCUGCCCAGAAGCGGGGGAUAACACCUGGAAACAGAUGCUAAUACCGCAUAACAACUUGGACCGCAUGGUCCGAGUUUGAAAGAUGGCUUCGGCUAUCACUUUUGCGAUGGUCCCGCGGCGUAUUAGCUAGAUGGUGGGGUAACGGCUCACCAUGGCAAUGAUACGUAGCCGACCUGAGAGGGUAAUCGGCCACAUUGGGACUGAGACACGGCCCAAACUCCUACGGCAGGCAGCAGUAGGGAAUCUUCCACAAUGGACGAAAGUCUGAUGGAGCAACGCCGCGUGAGUGAAGAAGGGUUUCGGCUCGUAAAACUCUGUUGUUAAAGAAGAACAUAUCUGAGAGUAACUGUUCAGGUAUUGACGUUAUUUAACCAGAAAGCCACGGCUAACUACGUGCCAGCAGCCGCGGUAAUACAUAGGUGGCAAGCGUUGUCCGGAUUUAUUGGGCGUAAAGCGAGCGCAGGCGGUUUUUUAAGUCUGAUGUGAAAGCCUUCGGCUCAACCGAAGAAGUGCAUAGGAAACUGGGAAACUUGAGUGCAGAAGAGGACAGUGGAACUCCAUGUGUAGCGGUGAAAUGCGUAGAUAUAUGGAAGAACACCAGUGGCGAAGGCGGCUGUCUGGUCUGUAACUGACGCUGAGGCUCGAAAGUAUGGGUAGCAAACAGGAUUAGAUACCCUGGUAGUCCAUACCGUAAACGAUGAAUGCUAAGUGUUGGAGGGUUUCCGCCCUUCAGUGCUGCAGCUAACGCAUUAAGCAUUCCGCCUGGGGAGUACGGCCGCAAG